CCUACGGGUGGCAGCAGUGAGGAAUAUUGGUCAAUGGACGAGAGUCUGAACCAGCCAAGUAGCGUGAAGGAUGACUGCCCUAUGGGUUGUAAACUUCUUUUAUAUGGGAAUAAAACAGGGUAUGCAUACCCUCUUGUAUGUACCAUAUGAAUAAGGAUCGGCUAACUCCGUGCCAGCAGCCGCGGUAAUACGGAGGAUCCGAGGGUUAUCCGGAUUUAUUGGGUUUAAAGGGAGCGUAGGUGGAUUGUUAAGUCAGUUGUAAAAGUUGCGGCUCAACCGUAAAAUUGCAGUUGAAACUGGCAGUCUUGAGUACAGUAGAGGUGGGCGGAAUUCGUGGUGUAGCGGUGAAAUGCUUAGAUAUCACGAAGAACUCCGAUUGCGAAGGCAACUCACUGGACUGCAACUGACACUGAUGCUCGAAAGUGUGGGUAUCAAACAGGAUUAGAUACCCUGGUAGUC
rnacentral:rRNA from 1 species